GAGCCGCGGCGGCCGUUCGUCACCCCUCAAGCGGGGUAGUAGGAAGGAGCCGGUCGGGCAGCGGAGAGUGCUGGUGGCUGCUGGGGGCCGGCUCCCUCUGCUUCGCCCCGUGCUGCCCGCUCCUGGGCUGGGAGUUUCUUUAUCAUCUAAAGAUCAAACAUGGACCCUGAAGCUGAGAUAAAGAAGCAAGUAAACCCUUUCUACUGCAAUAUUUGCAAAAUCUGGUGUGCUUCUGCAUUAAAUUUGCAGACUCACUUCCUUGGAUUCAAACACAAGACGGUUGAAGAAGCAUUGAAAGCUCAUGGCAUUGUUAAAACAGCAAGUGGCUCAGGGGAGCAAGUGAAAACAACUGUAAAACUUCCUGAUUAUGUGCAAACUGAGCCGGAGAGGUUUCAUGGGCAGACCUUGGAAGAACAGCUUAAUACAUGUAAAGAUUCAGAACCUGCACUUGGACUUAAUUAUAUAAUUGAAUACCGAUCAAAAGACAAUUUCCCUUUUCUCUAUGAAUGUCAACUGUGCCACUGUAAAACAGGACUGAGUAACAUGUUCAUGCAUGUUUGUGGUUUCAAGCAUAGACUAGCAUACCUGAAACAACAUUAUCCUGAGAUAGCAGAAUCUGAUGAAGUUAAGGGUAAAGGCUCUGAACUGAACCGAAAAGUUAGGCAAGUUGCAUUAACAAUUGAGAAGAAAGAAGGAAGAAAACAAAUAAAGGUUGUUACAGAUGCUCCAGUAAUGAGGAGGAGAUGGCAAGAAUAUCCUAAUGCAGAUGACAGCCCUUCAAAAGCUAAAGUUCAGCAUGUGGAUACAUCACUUAGUAAUGAAGAAAAAACAGAUUGUAAAAAUAAGGAUGGAAAAAUGCCAGACCCUGUUCAAGAUGAAAAGAAUGUUCAAGAGGAGCAGGAAAAAAGUCAGAAAGAACUGACAAAACCAGAUGAGAAGGUUGAACCUAAUAAGGCUAUUGAAAGCAGCAAAGGCAACAAGACCGAAGAAGGCAGCAAAGGCAACGCCUCAGAAAAGUAUGAGACCAAUAAACAAUCGCAGGAAGAAAACAAGGAAGCUGAGCAAGAAUUUACAGCAAAUCCUGAAGAAUUCACUAGUCAAGAAGAACUGUUGGGUUAUUUGCAAAGUUUUGAGAUACUGAAUGAAGAUGAUGCUUCAUUUAUCCUAAAAGUUACACAGACUCUUACAGAUGCACUAGUGGAAUAUCGUCAGCAGGCUGCAUCAAAAAAAGACAUCUUAGAUACUGAAUAUAAUGGGGAAGAGGCAUUGGAACAUUCCACAGAACAGUCUGACCUGACUUCAGCAGAUAUUAGUGACUCUGAUACUGACUAUUCAAGCAGCCGAUCAGCUAAGCGAUCCUUAUCAGUAAAUGAAGAAGAUGAACCCCAAAACUUUUCAACUGGCUCCUUGGAAACAGCAUAUGAGAACAACAUCAUUACUGAAUUUUUGAACAGUGUAAGAAAUAUGAAUGUUGAGGAAGUUAAUGCUACUCUACACAAAAUAGCAGCAGCAAAUCCAGCUUUCAGAGGUAAUUCACGUAUUCAUGCACACACACACAGACACAAACACACCUAUAUAAAAAUAUACAUAACAUAAUUUUGUUAGCUUGUGAAAUACUAAGGACUGUAUGGGUCAAAGAACUUUGAGGUACUAAGGAGAGCUGAAGAGACUUUUUUCCCCCCCUUUAACUUUUGCAGGAUUCAGUUUAGGAAUGGUAAUUCAAAAUGGCUGCCUUCCUGUGAAGGUGUUAGUAACUGCUAAAUUUCUUUUUAAAUUCUUUUCUCAUUUGUGCAUAGUAACAUUUACAUGGUGAGAGAUACUAAACUAAAUCAAGCAUACUGUUAUUAGAAAAAAGGAGAAUAUUUUGUCUGUGAUGUAACUGGUGAAACACUGAUUUUGGGAAUGCCAGCAGCACAUAAAUUUUUACUUAUUGAUUCCUGAAGGAACUGUACUUGCACAGUAACAUAAAUAAUAGAGACAAGUAGUCUUUCUUUUGCUUACAAGUUCCUAAUAAGUUUCAGCUACUAAACCUUCCCACAUCUCCAGUCAACUGCUGCCCUUUCUUCAGAAGCCUGCUGUGUACAUUUUUAAGCUUCUCAGAGUGUGUUUAGGAUCAUAAGAGUAAAAAAAAGAACACUGAAGAUAAAUAUAUUGUAGAGAAGUUUAAGAUACUCUGCCUGAGUGCUCACUGUGGAAGGAACCAGAGAGUUUGCAAUCCGUGCCGUAACCCCUCCUUGGGAAUGCGCCUGCGUGCCCACAACCCAGCACAGUAUCUGUUUGGAAUGGAAGUUCUGGAGCAAAUUGACAACAUAAAACCAUGGAAGCAGCAAACUGUUGUAACUCUUCCAUGAAUAUCACCUGGUCCUAGGGACCUCCAGAACAAAAUGGUUAAGUUACUGAUAGUAGUGAUUUCUCCCAUAAAACUUCCUUUGGAACCUGAAAAUUUGUGGGUGGCAAAUGUGGUUCUCUUCUAUGUACAUUUCUCUUUUUUUAGGGUUUUGUUGUGUGUUGAACACAGCUGCUUGCUUGCUGCCCCCACCCCCCUGCAGCUGGACAGGGAAGAGAAUAGGAAGAACAAAAAGUCUUUGGAGUUGUCUGAAAGGGGUCAGCAAAGGAGUCACAUAAAGGAAUUGAUAUAUUGAAUGUUAUAAGGAUUCUGACUGAAAGUGGAACUCUGAGAAGACCAAGCAAUGGUGGCACACAGUG